rnacentral:rRNA from 1 species
GACGAACGCUGGCGGCGUGCUUAACACAUGCAAGUCGAACGGAAAGGCCCUGCUUUUGUGGGGUGCUCGAGUGGCGAACGGUUGAGUAACACGUGAGUAACCUGCCCUUGACUUUGGGAUAACUUCAGGAAACUGGGGCUAAUACCGGAUAGUAGCUCCUGCUUCAUGGUGGGGGUUGGAAAGUUUCGGCGGUUGGGGAUGGACUCGCGGCUUAUCAGCUUGUUGGUGGGGUAGUGGCUUACCAAGGCUUUGACGGGUAGCCGGCCUGAGAGGGUGACCGGACACAUUGGGACUGAGAUACGGCCAAGACUCCUACGGGAGGCAGCAGUGGGGAAUAUUGCACAAUGGGAGGAAGCCUGAUGCAGCAACGCAGCGUGCGGGAUGACGGCCUUCGGGUUGUAAACCGCUUUCGCCUGUGACGAAGCGUGAGUGACGGUAAUGGGUAAAGAAGCACCGGCUAACUACGUG